CAGCCGCCGCGGUAAUACGAAGGGUGCAAGCGUUACUCGGAAUUACUGGGCGUAAAGCGUGCGUAGGUGGUGGUUUAAGUCUGUUGUGAAAGCCCUGGGCUCAACCUGGGAAUUGCAGUGGAUACUGGGUAACUAGAGUGUGGUAGAGGAUAGUGGAAUUUCCGGUGUAGCAGUGAAAUGCGUAGAGAUCGGAAGGAACAUCUGUGGCGAAGGCGACUAUCUGGGCCAACACUGACACUGAGGCACGAAAGCGUGGGGAGCAAACAGGAUUAGAUACCCCUGUAGUCCCUGUCUCUUAUAC
rnacentral:rRNA from 1 species